rnacentral:tRNA from 1 species
GCCUAGGUGGCUCAGUCGGUUAAGCAUCUGACUUCAGCUCAGGUCAUGAUCUCACGGUUUGUGAGUUUGAACCCCACUCAAGCCC